GGGCCAGACUCCUACGGGAGGCAGCAGUGGGGGAUAUUGCACAAUGGGGGGAACCCUGAUGCAGCGACGCCGCGUGGGUGAAGGAGUAUUUCGGUAUGUAAAGCCCUAUCGGCAGGGAAGAAGCAAGACGGUACCUGACUAAGAAGCCCCGGCUAACUACGUGCCAGCCGCCGCGGUAAUACGUAGGGGGCGAGCGUUAUCCGGAUUCACUGGGUGUAAAGGGAGCGUAGACGGCCAAGCAAGCCAGGGGUGAAAGCCCGGGGCCCAACCCCGGGACUGCACUGGAAACUGCCGGGCUGGAGUGUCGGAGGGGCAGGCGGAAUUCCUAGUGUAGCGGUGAAAUGCGUAGAUAUUAGGAGGAACACCGGUGGCGAAGGCGGCCUGCUGGACGACGACUGACGCUGAGGCUCGAAAGCGUGGUGAGCAACCAGGAUUAGAUACCCCAGUAU
rnacentral:rRNA from 1 species